UUCCAAAACAUGGAGAAAAUUUCAUCUAUAUGCAGGGGUGGAUAUAACCCAUUGCCCGACGUCCGAGUCCAGUGUUCUUUUUCUGUCGGACAAGCAAAUUUGUAUAUCACACUACCGGUGUCCAGUUGACUUUCCAAAGUUA